UACGUAGGGUGCGAGCGUUGCCCGGAUUUAUUGGGCGUAAAGGGCGCGCAGGCGGCCACGCAUGUCCGUUGUGAAAUCGCCCGGCUCAACUGGGCGGGGUCGGCGGAUACGGCGUGGCUGGAGCAAGCUAGGGGGUAGUGGAAUUCCCGGUGUAGUGGUGGAAUGCGUAGAUAUCGGGAGGAACACCGAUGGCGAAGGCAGGUCUCUGGGCCAUUACUGACACUGAGAAGCGAAAGCAUGGGGAGCGAACAGG
rnacentral:rRNA from 1 species